GCCUCGGUGGUGUAGUGGUAGCACGCGUCCCCGGUAUGAAUGAAACGAGGAUUCGAAUGCCGCGUGAGUCG